GCACAACCCGCUGCGUCCUCGACCUGCGCACAACGCGGGACGAAGAGGCGCACGCGGGGCUCCGGGAGACCACAGGGCUUGGCUUCCCCACCAGUCAAAUGAGACAACGGUGUGAAGCUGAUCACAUUGCUGAAGAGUUGAAAUGAGGGGGUGUGCGCUAGUAUCCACAGCGUGUCCCUGCCUGUACCUGGCUCCAGGGCAAGACUGUAAGGGGGCGUGUGCAAUAGAUCCUUCAUAACCUCCUAGCUGACCAAGAGAAACCAACACACACCAUGCACUUCCCAUGUCUCACUGAAUGACUGUGUGAAAUGCUGAACAUUUGUUUCUAGAAAACACAGUUAACGUAAGCUGUGUCCAAGUGGAAGGAGCGAUUGUGGAAAAGUAAAACAACCAAGAGGCGUGGUAUUGCUCCUAUAACUUGGAACUGGAGAGGAGGCAAGAUGCUGGCAUAGCUGUUGAACUAGAACCUGCUAUGCCAACAUAUUGCCAUCUUUCCUGUCUGACAGCAGCUUGACCACCUCCAUGACAUUCUUCCAUAUCUUGCUACAACCAAAAUGUGACAUGUAGUUUGUGACUCGGUCUGCCUUAUCCCAACUUCUCUCCGAUCAUGUACCAAAUCACUCAUUGCAUUCUAGCCACACUGGGCUUUGGGGACUGUUCUUGGACAUACCAGGGAUGUCCCUGCCUCUUCACUCGUCUGCCUUUGUUUCAUCAUCUGAGUCAGUGAAGACGCCACAUUCUUGGAAAAGUCUUUCAUAGCAGCUUUGCCUAUAAAAGCUUCCAUGUGCCCAGCCAGUGCUCAUCUCGUGACCCUGCUCUGUCUUUUGGAAAACGUUGGUCACUGCCCGAACAUGUUUGCUUGCUCAGUUGCUGCCUCGUUUCCUUUACCAGAUUGUGAAUCCUUUAAGGAUGACCAAGCUUGACGUUUUACUCACUGUAUGCCUAGACCCUGACACUUUUAAGUCCUCAAUUCAUGGCUUUGAAAUUCUACCAUGAACUUAUUGUGCAAUAAAGGUGUCAAAUUAUUACAUUUCAGCGUGUCAUGAAUGGUUCUGAUGAAACACUGGUUGAUAAGUAACAAAAAAACAAACAAGUAAUAUUGAUUUGUAGGCCUGCAAACCCAACAUCUUAAAGGAGAUGCAAUAAAGUUAUCAAGUCUACCAACUCAGAAGACAACAUGUUGUAUUGAAAAGACAGCACAUUCGAAAUAAAAGUUAUUUUCCAGUUUCA